GAUGGUGUUGUUGGGACAAAGCUUGCUGCAAAAUGUUGUUCCCAGUCCCUUUUGAACCUCGUUCCUUCAUUUGGAGUCAUUUCCUCUGGCUGCGUUUCAAAGCCUAGCAUCGCUUAGUGGCUGGGCGGUCCCUGCGCCUCCUGAUUAAGAACUGGAUGCCCUGCUGAGAUGCUCUUAGAGGCAGUACGGACUCUCUUUCCCCAACAUGUCCAUACUGGGUUUCUAUAUUUUGAUGUUUUCUCCUAUUUGGCAAGUGUGGAGGUAGUUAAUAUUUUUCAGGCAUGGAAAGGUGCAACUCAAAGCCUCUCACUGAAGUGCUGUUUCAUUUCUUUAUUUUUAUUUAUUAGGGGUUUGUUCUGUUUUCGUAGUGCUAGGGACAGAACUCAGCUCUUGUCCGGCUGGACAACUGCUCUGCCAACUACAUUCCAGCCCUUUUUUGCUUUUCGUAUUGAGACAAUCUUUUACUUGAACUUGAACUUGCGAUCUUCCUGUUCUAUCAUUUCCAGAAGCUGGGAUUCUAGGCAAGCACCAUCAGACCUGGCGAGAGUUUCUUUUCUAUAUUUUUAAAGCCAUGCAUGGUCUUGGAGAUGUGUGUACAUAUGCCUCUAACUGAACCCGUAGCUCAAUGAUUGGCUAAGCUAGCUGUCCAGCAAGCCCCAGGAGUCUUCCUGCAUCCAUCUUCCCAGCUCUGGGAUUAGAGGGCCGAUGGCUGAUGGGAAGCAGGGCUUUCACAGUGGCCCCUGGAGUCAUCAGAGGAGGGGCUCACCACCGACAUCCCCUGCACAGCUCUUGCCUGCCUUCAUCCAAACUGCUCUUAGAAACUUGGACUCCAGGAUUCUUCUUCCCGGAAGUCCUUGGCUGGAUCCUCCUUCUUGCUUGAUGCCUACUGCAGCACUGGUUCAGCCAUGCCAAAGAGCUUUGGAUCCUUCUGUAAUUAAAAUGUCCCACUGGUCUGGGGAAAGAUGUGGCUGUACCUCCCACUGCUCCUGCCUCUGUGUCUGCUCCAGCCAGGACGGCUCCCUGGUUUCUUGUUCUCAGUUACAAGUAUUCUGGCUAGGGUAGGAGGCGGCCAGAUGGUAAUCUCUCCUCUGUUGGCCUUAUCCUGUCAGCGUGACCUUGGACCCAUCCCAGCCUGGGGCCCGCAGGUUGUGUCAAUUAGAGUCAAUGAGGCUGUAUGGCUUCCCUCCCAUUUAGAACCUUGCAGGUUGGGGGCGGAGCUAGAGGGAUGUCCUCUAACCUUGGGGAACUGCUGCUAGACUUCAAAAGGGACCCUUUUGCCCACGUCCAUCCCACUCAUGAUGUCUAGAGUUUGUAAAGGUAUCUGUGCAGGGGACAUCUGUGCUCUUCGUCAGUCUUCCUGCCCCUCUGUUUCCUAGGCAUCCUGCAGGGCUGUCCAGUGUGGAGGGAUCUGGUUCUUGGGGACACAGGCAAAGUGUCCAUGGAGCCUGCACUCCCAGCCCCAUCAAGCUGCAGCUGUGCUGUGGGAACUUUCACAUGCCCCCCAGACUCACUUUCCACUGCAACUGCAACAUGGGAAGAAGAGGGACAUAAGAGAGGACCCCACCCCCCACUCCAUACAGUCCCGCAGCCCACCACCAUUGUGCCCACACGUCCCAUUCAGUUUGUCUGUGCUCACUGUAGCUUUGCCUGCCUGUU
rnacentral:sRNA from 1 species